GUGCUUGCUUCAGCAGUAAGUACAUAUGCUAAAAUUGGAACAAUAUAAAUUAGCAUGGUUCCUGUGCAAGGAUGACAUGCAAAUUCACAAAGCAUUCCAUAUUUUC